rnacentral:rRNA from 1 species
AGUGAACGCUGGCGGUAGGCCUAACACAUGCGAGUCGAACGGCAGCACAGUAAGAGCUUGCUCUUACGGGUGGCGAGUGGCGGACGGGUGAGGAAUACAUCGGAAUCUACUUUUUCGUGGGGGAUAACGUAGGGAAACUUACGCUAAUACCGCAUACGACCUACGGGUAAAAGCAGGGGAUCUUCGGACCUUGCGCGAUUGAAUGAGCCGAUGUCGGAUUAGCUAGUUGGCGGGGUAAAGGCCCACCAAGGCGACGAUCCGUAGCUGGUCUGAGAGGAUGAUCAGCCACACUGGAACUGAGACACGGUCCAGACUCCUACGGGAGGCAGCAGUGGGGAAUAUUGGACAAUGGGCGCAAGCCUGAUCCAGCCAUACCGCGUGGGUGAAGAAGGCCUUCGGGUUGUAAAGCCCUUUUGUUGGGAAAGAAAAGCAGCAGGUUAAUACCCCGCUGUUCUGACGGUACCCAAAGAAUAAGCACCGGCUAACUUCGUG